UGAUUUCUAGAAGCCACUAUGGUUAGCAACAUCAGAGAAGACCCACUGACAUGCCACUUCUCUUCCAGGGUUAGAGAUGAGAACUAAGGGAUGGAGCCUGGCGUCAUGGCAUGGAGCUGGCUUGGGAAAUGGAAACAUGAUACCAGCUGGUUCACCUAUGGUUUUGGAAAUACAUCACUCUGGCUUCUGACCUCCAUAACUAAAUGUAAAUGUUGUAGUAGAAACAGCUUCGGAGAAACAGCAGUGACAAGAUAUGCAGCCCUUACCCUCUCACAGAACUUAUAA
rnacentral:lncRNA from 1 species